CACAUGCAGUCGAACGGGAUUCAGUAGCUUGCUACUGAUGAGAGUGGCGCACGGGUGAGUAACGCGUAUGCAACCUACCUCUUACAGGGGGAUAGCCCGGAGAAAUCCGGAUUAAUAUCCCAUGGUAUUUAUUCUCCGCAUGGAUAAUAAAUUAAAGAUUUAUCGGUAAGAGAUGGGCAUGCGUGACAUUAGUUUGUUGGUGAGGUAACGGCUCACCAAGACUACGAUGUCUAGGGGUUCUGAGAGGAUGAUCCCCCACACUGGUACUGAGACACGGACCAGACUCCUACGGGAGGCAGCAGUGAGGAAUAUUGGUCAAUGGGCGCAAGCCUGAACCAGCCAUCCCGCGUGAAGGAAGACGGCCCUAUGGGUUGUAAACUUCUUUUCUGCACCAAGAAUUGGCCUUACGUGUAAGGUUUUGACGGUAGUGCAGGAAUAAGCAUCGGCUAACUCCGUGCCAGCAGCCGCGGUAAUACGGAGGAUGCAAGCGUUAUCCGGAUUCAUUGGGUUUAAAGGGUACGUAGGUGGCCCAGUAAGUCAGUGGUGAAAUCCUGCCGCUUAACGGUAGAACUGCCAUUGAUACUGCUGGGCUUGAGUACAGUUGAGGUAGGCGGAAUGUGUAGUGUAGCGGUGAAAUGCUUAGAUAUUACACAGAACCCCGAUUGCGAAGGCAGCUUACUAAACUGUAACUGACACUGAGGUACGAAAGCGUGGGGAGCGAACAGGAUUAGAUACCCUGGUAGUCCACGCCGUAAACGAUGCUCACUCGCUGUAUGCGAUACACAGUAUGCGGCCAAGCGAAAGUAUUAAGUGAGCCACCUGGGGAGUACGUUGGCAACAGUGAAACUCAAAGGAAUUGACGGGGGCCCGCACAAGCGGAGGAACAUGUGGUUUAAUUCGAUGAUACGCGAGGAACCUUACCUGGGCUUAAAUGCAGGACGACAGGCGUCGAAAGAUGCUUUUCUUCGGACGGCU
rnacentral:rRNA from 1 species